rnacentral:rRNA from 1 species
CAGCAGCAGCCACGGUAAUACAGAGGGUGCGAGCGUUAAUCGGAUUUACUGGGCGUAAAGCGUGCGUAGGCGGCUUCUUAAGUCGGAUGUGAAAUCCCUGAGCUUAACUUAGGAAUUGCAUUCGAUACUGGGAAGCUAGAGUAUGGGAGAGGAUGGUAGAAUUCCAGGUGUAGCGGUGAAAUGCGUAGAGAUCUGGAGGAAUACCGAUGGCGAAGGCAGCCAUCUGGCCUAAUACUGACGCUGAGGUACGAAAGCAUGGGGAGCAAACAGGAUUAGAUACCCGUGUAGUCCCUGUCUCUUAUAA